CAGUCGUGACUGAGAGGCUCAGCCGGUUCUGCCGGUGUAUUCCCCUCAGUCGGGUCAACAUCAGUUUUGUUCGGUGGAUAAGGGCAGCUGGAAGGUGGCACCUCCGGGUGUGUUAUAGCUUCUAGUCAUAUACAGUGGUUGGGACUGAGGAACUCAGCACGCCGCAAGGUCCGGGUUUUAACCACGUACGUGCUUAGGAUGUUGGCAUAAUGGCUUUAAGCGACCCGUCUUGAAACACGGACCAAGGAGUCUAGCAUAUAUGCGAGUGUU
rnacentral:rRNA from 1 species